GUGGGGAAUUUUGGACAAUGGGCGCAAGCCUGAUCCAGCAAUGCCGCGUGCAGGAAGAAGGCCUUCGGGUUGUAAACUGCUUUUGUACGGAACGAAAAGCCUCUGGUUAAUACCCGGGGGUCAUGACGGUACCGUAAGAAUAAGCACCGGCUAACUACGUGCCAGCAGCCGCGGUAAUACGUAGGGUGCGAGCGUUAAUCGGAAUUACUGGGCGUAAAGCGUGCGCAGGCGGUUUUGUAAGACAGGCGUGAAAUCCCCGGGCUCAACCGGGGAAUUCCGCUUGUGACUGCAAGGCUGGAGUGCGGCAGAGGGGGAUGGAAUUCCGCGUGUAGCAGUGAAAUGCGUAGAUAUGCGGAGGAACACCGAUGGCGAAGGCAAUCCCCUGGGCCUGCACUGACGCUCAUGCACGAAAGCGUGGGGAGCAAACAGGAUUAGAAACCCUAGUAGUCC
rnacentral:rRNA from 1 species